GAUGAAGAACGUAGUGAAAUGCGAUAAUUAAUGUGAAUUGCAGAAUUCAGUGAAUCAUCGAGUCUUUGAACGCACAUUGCGCCCCCUGGUAUUCCGGGGGGCAUGCCUGUCCGAGCGUCAUUGCUGCCCUCAAGCACGGCUUGUGUGUUGGGCUUCCGUCCCUGGCAACGGGGAUGGGCCCAAAAGGCAGUGGCGGCACCAUGUCUGGUCCUCGAGCGUAUGGGGCUUUGUCACCCGCUCCCGUAGGUACAGCUGGCAGCUAGCCUCGCAACCAAUCUUUUUAACCAGGUUGACCUCGGAUCAGGUAGGGAUACCCGCUGAACUUAAGCAUAUCAAUAAGCGGAGGA
rnacentral:misc_RNA from 1 species